rnacentral:rRNA from 1 species
AGUGAACGCUGGCGGUAGGCCUAACACAUGCAAGUCGAACGGCAGCACAGGAGAGCUUGCUCUCUGGGUGGCGAGUGGCGGACGGGUGAGGAAUACAUCGGAAUCUACUUUUUCGUGGGGGAUAACGUAGGGAAACUUACGCUAAUACCGCAUACGACCUACGGGUGAAAGCAGGGGACCUUCGGUCCUUGCGCGAUGGAAUGAGCCGAUGUCGGAUUAGCUAGUUGGCGGGGUAAAGGACCACCAAGGCGACGAUCCGUAGCUGGUCUGAGAGGAUGAUCAGCCACACUGGAACUGAGACACGGUCCGGACUCCUACGGGAGGCAGCAGUGGGGAAUAUUGGACAAUGGGCGCAAGCCUGAUCCAGCCAUACCGCGUGGGUGAAGAAGGCCUUCGGGUUGUAAAGCCCUUUUGUUGGGAAAGAAAUCCAGCUGGCUAAUACCCGGUUGGGAUGACGGUACCCAAAGAAUAAGCACCGGCUAACUUCGUGCCAGCCGCCGCCGUAA